rnacentral:sRNA from 1 species
AGAGACAUAAAGCUAUUCAUCCAUUGUUAUUCAGAGUUUCAUUCAGAUCUAUAUACAUUG